GCGGCUACGGCCGCGAAGUGGGUGAUGUCAAGCUUCCAAGAAAAGCCCUAUACCCGUUAAGGCAUGAUGGCCUGUACCCGAAACCGACACAGGUGGGGUGGUAGAGAAUACCGAGGGGCGCGAGGUAACUCUCUCUAAGGAACUCGGCAAAAUGGCCCCGUAACUUCGGGAGAAGGGGUGCCACCGCAAGGUGGUCGCAGUGAAGAGGCCCAGGCGACUGUUUACCAAAAACACAGGUCUCCGCUAAGUCGCAAGACGAUGUAUGGGGGCUGACGCCUGCCCAGUGCCGGAAGGUUAAGGAAGCUGGUCAGCGCAAGCGAAGCUGGCGACUGAAGCCCCGGUGAACGGCGGCCGUAACAAUAACGGUCCUAAGGUAGCGAAAUUCCUUGUCGGGUAAGUUCCGACCCGCACGAAAGGCGUAACGAUCUGGGCGCUGUCUCGGAGAGAGGCUCGGCGAAAUAGAAUUGUCUGUGAAGAUGCGGACUACGUGCACCCGGACAGAAAGACCCUAUGAAGCUUUACUGUAGCUUGGUAUUGUGCCCGGGCUCUGAAUGCGCAGGAUAGGUGGGAGGCUUUGAUCCAUGGCUUGCGGGUCAUGGUGAGCCAACGGUGAGAUACCACUCUUUCAGAGCUAGGGUUCUAACGGUCACCCGUCAUCCGGGGACCGGACAGUAUCAGGUGGGCAGUUUGACUGGGGCGGUCGCCUCCUAAAAGGUAACGGAGGCGCGCAAAGGUUUGCUCAGGCUGGUUGGAAAUCAGCCGACGAGUGCAAAAGCAGAAGCAAGCUUGACUGUGAGACCUACAAGUCGAACAGGGACGAAAGUCGGCUUUAGUGAUCCGACGGUUCUGAGUGGAAGGGCCGUCGCUCAACGGAUAAAAGUUACUCUAGGAUAACAGGCUGAUCUCCCCCAAGAGUUCACAUCGACGGGGAGGUUUGACACCUCGAUGUCGGCUCAUCGCAACCUGGGGCUGAAGUCGGUCCCAAGGGUUGGGCUGUUCGCCCAUUAAAGCGGUACGCGAGCUGGGUUCAGAACGUCGUGAGACAGUUCGGUCCAUAUCCGGUGCACGCGCAGGAACAUUGAGAGGAUUUCUCCCUAGUACGAGAGGACCGGGAGGAACGCACCUCUGGUGUGCCAGUUAUCGUGCCAACGGUAAACGCUGGGUAGCCAUGUGCGGAGUGGAUAACCGCUGAAAGCAUCUAAGUGGGAAGCCCACCUCAAGAUGAGUGUUCCCAUGGCAUAAGCCAGUAAGGUCACGGGAAGAACACCCGUUGAUAGGCUCUACGUGGAAGCCGGGUAACCGGUGAAGCGGAGGAGUACUAAUAGACCGAGGGCUUGAC
rnacentral:rRNA from 1 species